ensembl:lncRNA
UUCACCUUUGGUCUCGUCAGUCUACGGGAUAUUUUUCCAGAAGUCUUGGGGAUCAUCAAGAUGUUUUUUGACAAAUAUGAGAUGAUGUUGUUUUUUGUCAGCAGUGGUUUUCUCCUUGGAUCUCUUCCAUGGAUGCCAUUUUGUUAUUGUUGAAUCAUGAACUCUGACCUUAACUGAGGCAAACGAGGCCUGCUGUUCUUAAGAUGUUGUUCUGGGAUCUUUUGUGACCUCCCGAAUGAGUCGUUGAUGUGCUCUUGAAGUAGUUUGGUAGGCUGGCCGCUCCUGGGAAGGUUCACCACUGUUAUGGUAAAUUGACUGAUUCUUAUAUAGCGCUUUUCCACUCCCCCAGAGUACGCAAAGCGCUCAAUACAACAUGCCAUAUUCACCCAUUCACACAAUCGCUUUCUUCUAUGAUUAUAAGUAACUCCAUACUUUGAUGAUGCAUCAGAAAGUGAGGCAGGAUCGAACCACUAACCUUCCAAUCAGUAGAUGACCUGCUCUACCUCCUACAGCCACCCAUACUGUUCCAAAUUUUCUCGAUUGGUUAGAGUCCCAGAGCCUUAGAAAGGAUUUUCUACAUUAUACAUAUGUUAAAAAGCUCCAUUCUUGAGUGAGGUUAACAGGCUUCUCUGCGUUUUCCCUUUUAGGACAACCUCUAGCAUUCUGUUCAGAAUCAGACACACUUGAAACCCAACAGUUGGUGAAAAAAAACACCUGCUGGACUUCAUCUGGACAAACCUGGGAGGUUACGUCACUGAUCUCGAGUUGCUGUUUCUCCCAUCAAACCUCAAUGGAUAGCCACAGCGACCACAGCUUUUCCAGACCCUAGCGGCUGGCGGUUGGGAGCACGCUCAGUUGCUGCUGCUCUGUUUCCUGAACAUUUCAUGAUGCUUCACAAACCUGUGAGGGGCAGUAAAAAGUGAUAUUUCCAUUGCGACCCAUGUGUGUGGACGGUGGACAGGUCUAUAUGUGUAAGGAUGCCUAUGGUGGCCCCAUGAUCGGAAGGUCGGGGGUUCGAAUCCACUGAACGGCUACCCUGAGGUACCCCUGAGCAAGGUCCAUACUCAGCAUCCGUUGCCCAGUGUGUCCACUCUGUCUUCUCUGCACGUGCCCAAACCAUCUCAACUUUGCCUCUUUAACUUUAUCUUCAGAACACCUGUCUGAUACACUCAUUUCUAAUUUCCAGCUUGGCCUCCUGUCUUUUACUAGUGCCAUUGUCUCCAAA